AGGGAAUAUUGCAAAAUGGGCGAAAGCCCGAUGCAGCAACGCCGCGUGGGCGAUGAAGGCCUUCGGGUCGUAAAGCCCUUUUUGAGGGGAUGAGGAAGGACAGUACCCUCAGAAUAAGCCUCGGCUAACUACGUGCCAGCAGCCGCGGUAAAACGUAGGAGGCGAGCGUUAUCCGGAUUUACUGGGCGUAAAGCGCGUGCAGGCGGAUUGGAGAGUUGGAUGUGAAAGCUCCCGGCUUAACUGGGAGAGGUCGUUCAAUACUUCCAGUCUUGAGUGCAGUAGAGGGAAGUGGAAUUCCGGGGGUAGUGGUGAAAUGCGUAGACAUCCGGAGGAACACCAGUGGCGAAAGCGGCUGCCUGGACUGUAACUGACGCUCAGACGCG
rnacentral:rRNA from 1 species